GUUGCAGAACCAAACCAGACAGUUAUAGAGGUGCAGAUGACAGACUCAAUAAUUCCUCUGUAGAACUGGAUCAGCAGCUCCAUUAUCCAUUAUUAUUCAUCCAAACUUUUGGAUGCUUCCAAACUUUCCAAGCAUCCAAACUUUUUUAUCCAUCCAAACCUACUUUUCUAAUAAUAAUCUUUGUAUUUGAAAGAGAACCUAUUUUCUGAAAAUCAUAAUGCCUAUAUGUUAACACACACACACACACACACACACACACACACACACACACACGAUGGCAGCAUGUUCCAGGUUCACCAAGAUGAGCGUGAAAGUAUGUAUAGUCAUUUGUGUCAGCUGGCCUUUAUAAGGGUACAAAGGAUUUCUGACAGUUCCCUCCCCUAUACUCAAUUUGAAACUUGUAAUAUGCAAGAAUAAAAAAGUUUCUAUAGCUCUGCUGGAUGCAAAUACAUUGCAGUACCCUUCAGCUGCUUUAUCCUUUGAGAAUAGUAUAUUCAUACGAAGGUCAGUUUUAAUUUCGUGUUUCUCUUUAGGCCUUCUAACUCCUGAUGCAUCCUGUGUUUCCCAGAGUCAGUCUGCCAGUUUUAUCAAUCUCUCCUGAUUGUGCAUUAGAUAGCUGUUAGGAAGUUUCAGCGUUUCUGUCUGGCACCUGGCAUGCCCACAGAAGCAGAAUAGCUGUGAAUUUGGCGUUUAUUUAAAUGAAGAAGCAGGACCUGAUUUUAACAAAGGAGAAAUGUGAUGAAGAGACGAUCCAAAGUGUUUUCCUAUCUAUUACAGGCAUUCAGGAAAAAGAAAAGAACUGGAAGGGAAGAUGGAAUACAUGCUAAAUUUCAGUUUGAGAAGCAGACAACAGAGACUCAUCCCCAACAGCCUGCGCCUGCCUUCAACAGAGAAGGGACACAGGGCAGAAAGCAUCCUGCUGCCAAGAAGGCUCCGCACCCAUUUGCACUACUCAGGUGACUCUGAGGACACAGAUAAACCUCCCAAUGGCCUCAAUGAUUCUCUAAAGGAUGCAAAUGUCCAGCUGUCUGCAAGGAAUAUAAAUCCUUCCAUUCCCCACCAUCCAGUCAGAGCUGAAGAAGCUUCUUGGAUGAGAAGAGAAAUGUCUUCAAAGAAAAAAACAAAGUCCAGUUGCCUCCUGAAAAAGCACCUUUGGAAUACAUGCUAUUUCUCCCUAUCCCCUAAACUCCCAAAGUUAACAGGAAGUCUGAAGUGGCCUUAAUACUGUGUUCAGCCAGCUGGGGUUGCAGCACUACACAUAAUUAAAAGCCAGUCAAUGGCUGAAAGGGAUCAAUCCAACAGCAAAGAUGCACAUUUCAGGCAUAACUGCACGGUGGCCAAACUUUAAAUUCUACAGAAAAUCUUGGUGAGCAGAUGUUUGUUGGAAAGCAGUAGGCAUGUCAAGAUCAGCAUUGGAUUGAGCUUGACUGGUGAUCAGGUUGAUCAGGCAAAUUCUGUAUAUGUUUUGGGGAUUGAUUCAUUAAGACUAUUAGGAUCUAUGCAGAUAUGAGCAACUCUGCAUCUGUUCUGAGAUGCUGCCUGAGCAUGUUGCCCUAACUGGCAAACGUGGCCUUCCUUACAAGGAAGAUAAUAGUUGUUCUUCUCGAUUUUGCUGUCAUGUUUCAGCAGGGAAGGAUCUGACUUCAGGACCCUGUGUGGCUUCUUGAGGCUGGCUUGUCUGCCUCACCUUUCAAAUCCCAUAUGGGCAUCUCCUAAAUCUGUAACAGGGAGAAAAGUAUCAAAUAUCCUGACAAUAAGAGCAACUCAGCAGUGGAACCAAUUUCACAGAUGGAUUGAAUUUCCCUUUACUGGAUGCAUUCAAGCAGGCUAGACAAGCAUCUGACUGGAAUGCUUUAACUUAGAUUCCAGCACAGAGCAUGGAAUUGGACUCAGUGAAUGGCCUCUUCCAACUCUGUGUCAAGCUGACACUCUUGAAUGUAAUGUGAAAUAAAGAAACACAUAAGAAGAUGCCACAGUGCAAAUAGCUCCAGUCUGCAUCGUGCAGUGCAGAAUAAGCACUAAUAUACCUCCUUCCUCAGAAUAAACAAUGGAGUUUGCUACUCCCAUAUUCAUCUCAUUCAAAGCCUAAACAGAAGAUGGUGUCAAAAAACUUAGAAAAAGAGGGUGGGUUUGGCUCGGGACUCAGGACACAAAGUGGUAAUAGAGAGUAUUAACUGAGAUUUAUUGUAUUUAUUGUUUAUU